UCCCCAUUGGAGAAGACGACAUCAGCCCACCAGAAAGGCCUAGGACAUCAAAAGAAUCCAGAUCGCCAUCAUACUUUGUGAAAAUCGACAUAACUUGGCUUGAAGUUGUGUGGGUGGCGGAAAACAUUGUACUUUAAUAAUGGAUAUGGGAAAUAGAUGACACAAUCCUAUAAACCAACAACUACAUAUGUGGAAAUCUUAUUGUUUGGCUCACUUAGAGCCGGUUUCCGAGCUCGGGAUUUAAAUGUCACCACCUCGUUUUUGGGACGACCUCUAGCUCAAUGCCCAUUUUAUGAGCUAUCUAUUUCAGUUGGAAACAUUAAAAUUAUAUCAAAGCAGAACAUAUAUCUUGUAGAAAUUGUAGUGACGCUUAAUCAAAUAGGUAAUCAUUAAUCAAAUACUUAUUAUAAUUCAGUUCAACAAUCGUUUGGUCUUAUUACUAUCAAUUACCAUACAAAAUAUUGAAAUCUUAGAUAUGAUUUUGAAAUAACAAUGCAUCAUACAAACAAAAGAAAAAAAAAACAAAGAACCAUGCUUAAUUUUUCAAGGAUCACAAAGACAUUUCUAUGAACAAAAGAAAUUCAAAAUUGCAAUUAAAAUGGAGUGAGCUACAUGCAGCAAAAGGCCUACGUACUAUUUAUUAUUGGGUGGAUAGAGUUCAUUUUCAAACAAGGUGAAUUGUGUUCAUUAACAUCACAUAAAUGAUCAACAUUAUAAUGAAUGCACAUAUCAACAUCAAUAUACAUUUUAUCAAACCUUGUUACACGACCGCUGACAAAUGUAUUUCAGAAAAUCGGUCUUCGGUUUGAAGUAGUACUGUAUUAAAUCACUCUCCAGUCUGGGUACAAAUUUGCAAAUGAAUGUAAAUAGAGGUAACAGGUGGUACAUGAGUAUUUUUAAAUGGUUUAAAUUUGCAAAUGAAUGUAAAUUGGUAUCAGUGGUACAUGAAUAUUCUUCAAUGGUGUUUACUGGAAUGAGAAUAUGACUGUUCCUUGGCAGCCGGAG